rnacentral:rRNA from 1 species
AUUGAACGCUGGCGGCAUGCUUUACACAUGCAAGUCGAACGGCAGCGCGGUCUUCGCCCUGGCUGCGGGUGGCGGACGGGUGAGUGAUGCAUCGGAACGUGCCCAGUAGUGUGUGAUAGCCCGGCGACAGCCGGAUUAAUACCGCAUUCGACCUUAGGGUGAAAGCGGGGGACCGAAAGGCCUUGCGCUAUUGCAGCGGCCGAUGUCGGAUUAGCUAGUUGGUGGGGUAAAGGCUUACCAAGGCGACGAUCCGUAGCUGGUCUGAGAGGAUGACCAGCCACACUGGAACUGAGACACGGCCCAGACUCCUACGGGAGGCAGCAGUGGGGAAUUUUGGACAAUGGGGGCAACCCUGAUCCAGCCAUGCCGCGUGCGGGAAGAAGGCCUUCGGGUUGUAAACCGCUUUUGUUCGGGAAGAAAAGCUGUGGGCUAAUACCCCGGGGGGAUGACGGUACCGGAAGAAUAAGCACCGGCUAACUACGUG